UACGGGGGGAGCAAGCGUUGUUCGGAUUUACUGGGCGUAAAGGGCGCGUAGGCGGUCGUGACAAGUCACUUGUGAAAUCUCCGGGCUUAACUCGGAACGGUCAAGUGAUACUGUCGGACUAGAGUACAGAAGGGGCAACUGGAAUUCUCGGUGUAGCGGUGAAAUGCGUAGAUAUCGAGAGGAACACCUGCGGCGAAGCGGGUUGCUGGGCUGAUACUGACGCUGAGGCGCGAAAGCCAGGGGAGCGAACGGG
rnacentral:rRNA from 1 species